CUGGUCCUUAUCUCCAGCAGUCCAGCACGAACAGGUCUCCGGUUCUUAUCUGAAUCUCCAGAACGACAACGUCUCCGCUCAGCUGCGCUCGUCUCUCAUCUUCUCAGCCUGCAAAAAAAUCAGCCGCCGCCCCUGCGCAGAUUUUUUUUCAGCGUCUAUAUCACUUUGCGCGUGUCCAAGCCACCGUUCAGCUCGAGAAGAAAAUCCUACCGUGCUCGAUUCUUCCCUGCGCGUCUCCUCCGCUUGGAGCUUCCUGCGCUCCCUGCGUCCCUCUGUGGCCGGAACUCCCUUCAUGGCCGGAGCUCGGCCGGCGCUCGGUCCUGCCACUCCCAUGGCCGCGCCCCCCCUGCUUCUCUCUCUCAGCGCUCGCGGCUCUUUCUCUCCUGCUCCGUCCAUGGCUGUUUGCCUCUGCUCGCGGCGUCCCUGCUCGCCCAGCCGAGCUCUCCACUGCCCAGCUCCAUCUCACGGCGCUCUAUCUGCUCGGUUCCAUGGCCGCGGUACUCCAGCUCGCCGUGCCCUGCUCCCUCUGUUUCCAUGGCAGGCUCUCUGCUCGUCGCGCGCGCCUGGACGCUCUCCCUGGUGGCCGCCUGUUCUCCCUGUGUACCGCGCGAGUUCUUUGGUAGACGCCCGCUGACCGUGCUCCACUUCGCCCAUCGCGACGCUCCAGUUCCAACUCGCUGCGCGCCGAGCUCUUCGCUGUUGUCCGUGCGCGCGCGCCGCUCGUCGACCUCUCUGCUCACGCAUAGCUCGCUCUUUUCUUAUUUGCCGCGCGCACGAAUUUCAUCUGCUCCCACAGCAUGUCGAGUUCCCGCACCAUCAUCGCUUCUGUCACAAGCUCGUUGA
rnacentral:misc_RNA from 1 species